GAGAGUAUUUUAUAUUUUACUCUCAUGGCCUCGACGCUCCGGCCUGGAACUUCUGGUUUGAGUUCCAGCCGCUCAAGUCCUCAUACGUGUCUCCUGACGAGGACAUGAUCACUCUCGCCAUCACCGCUCAUUAUUUCUCUGGCUCAGACGGGCACUCGGAGCCGCUCGACUCCUUACUGAAGAGAUUCCCGGACUGGGCAUUCCCAUCCUCAUGGAUCAGCACAUACCACUUGUACAGAUACUGAGGGCCACUUGUUUGAGGGCCUUGAACUCACAUAUAUACAAACACACACAGUGAUUUUUAUUUUUUGUAUGUUCAUUCUGUUGUAAUGGUUUUUAUAUUGUACAAAACAAACUGUAUUUUUUUAAUCCCCUUACCUUAACCCUACACCUAAACCUACCCCUCACACAAAACCUUUUGCUAUUUCAGAUUUUUAAAAACACUUCAUUCUGUGUAAUUUAUAAGGUUAUUUACUCAUGAGGGCCAAAAAUGUCCCCACAAGGUUAAAAUGUAGUGAAUACCAGGUACACACUGUUAGAUUGCUGUCUCCAUGCCUAGACAAAUAAGAUCCAGCCCCGGAUGCCAGAUCCCGUCAGAAAAUAUCAGUUUGUUCAGUAUCAGAACAACUCAGCAGAGUAGUCUAAUACCCAAACCCUGUUAACAAGAGGUCUUGUCUGGUACCCAAAAUAUCCAAAAACACUAUUAACAGUCAAUGAAAGUGAAGGGCAGAAGCAGGAGAUGAAGUAAAGAUGGUAAAAAGGAGCAGAGUUUAUUGAAUAGUCUUAGUUGCGUAUGUCUCAAUGCUCAGACUUCGUCUGAAGAACUCAAACCCAACAAGUAUUGUUACACCAAAUUGAUUCACAACAACAUCCCAUAAACCUUGAGUUUCUGUAAACAUUUCCUUGUAUCCCUUGUUAAUGAAGACAAACAGCCCUUGAAACCACACAGUCAUAAGGCUAAACAAUGGAAAAAAUAUAUAAAAACAACUAUAAUAUAAUAAAAAUGAUCAAUCAAUUAAUCAAUAAAAUGAAUAUAUAAAUGACUAUAAUGAUUAUUAUAAAUGAUUAUAUGAUUAAAUGGAAUAAUAAAAUGAUGAAAUAAUUAAUGAUUAUAAAUGAAUGAAGAAUAAAUAAAGAAUAUAUAAAAAAGAAUGCAAAACACAACACAAAUGUAUGGUUGCUCUCAUGCAAAACACACUCAGUUUGCAUUUAAGUAUCGUCCGAUCCUUCAACACACACACACAUGCCACUCACUAGCAUAAACACCAUAUGAGCUCCUUCAUUCACAUCAA